rnacentral:rRNA from 2 species
CAAAGAUACAUCUUCAAGCGGUGGAUCACUCGAAUUACCAAUCGAUGAAGAACGUAGCUAGCUACGAUAAUCGGUGCGAAUUGCAGGACACGCCGAGCACUUGAGCUUCCAACGCACAUUGCGGCUUUCGGGUCUUUUCCGAGGUCACAUCUGUCUGAGA